rnacentral:lncRNA from 1 species
CCCCCCUCCCUUGUUCCUGGCUCUUAACUCAUCCCCUCCUUUUACCAGCCUGGUCUCUGCCCGUCCCCCUGGUGGCUGGGUGCGGUGGGGCUGCCACGGCUCUGGCGCUGCUGCUGCUGCUCAUCCCCCUCUGCAGGAAGAAGACGGCAGUUACCCGCCAGCUCUCCACGUCCUACUGGAAGAGCCAGGAGCUGCGCCGGUUGCGGAUAGUGGGACGGUAUGUAAGUGGGCGGGGGCUGGUCUCCCUGGCCCCACCUCCCCAGGGGACUAGCUCU